rnacentral:lncRNA from 1 species
CUAAACAAUAAGACAUCCACAGGGUGGAUUCUUAUGGCAAUGUUUGAAGUAACAGGGGAAAAAAACUAACAUGACUCUAGCACUAGCGUUUCCAGUCAAAUCCAGUCCGUGGCCUCUAAGCUAAGAAUUGUUUUACCAGGUGUGCAGGGUCUAGCUUAUCAAAUCCUGCACAUUCCAAAGAUAAGCCUGCCCCUUGACCAGCUCCCUAGGAGAUAACCUUUUAAGUUCUUAGAAUAUCCCGCCUCCUGGGUGUGCCUCUGUUUACUUGGAGCCUUGAGCCACAUCAGAUAGUUUAUGAUAACAGUGAUUUUGGGGUGGGGGGACCUUGCACCUCACAGGAGCAGCUUGAUCUCUGGAGGAGCCGGAAGCUGAAUAAGGCCAGCCAAGUGGGUGCUCCAUGCCUGCCAGACCUGCACUGCAAUGGAAGCCCUGGACACGGAGUCUCAGGUAAGUGUCCCUUGUUGACGGGAUGCUCUGCGUGUUGUCCCACAUCUCUUCCGGAAGAAUUAAAUUCGGUCCCUGCAGCUUCUCUGGAGAGGAAACGUGGAGGCUUGUGCAGGUCUCCUGGACUCUUCCUGGUGCCUUUUACAUUUGCUGAUUUUAAAUUUUAUCUUUUUGCCGUAAACUGUAACUGUCAGCCCGACAGCUUUUCUGAGUUCCAUGGGUCAUUGAACUAGAGAGUAAUCUGGGGGCCUCUGACAUGAUAUAUUUAAAGGACUGUGUUUUUAGAAAGAAUAUGCAGGAGUUCCCAUUGUGGCUUAGUGGGUGAAAGACCUGACAUUGUCUCUGUGGGGGUGUGGGUUUGAUCCCUGGCCUCACUCAGUGGGUUAAGGAUCUGGUGUUGCUGCAAGCUGCAGUUAGGCAUAUGCAGCCAGUAAAAUACGUUUUUAAAUAAAUAAAUAGAAUAUGCAGUAGAGACCAUAUGUGUCCUGAGAAGCUUAAAACAUUGCUGUUUGGCCCUUUACAGAAAACUGUUUCCAACUCAUGCAGAAAUGUAACAAAUAAAUACCUAUGUUAUUUUCACACAUUGAAGACAUAACAAUUAAAAUGGAUGAAUAGCUAUGUAAAUAAAUCUCAAACUGUUUUAAAUUAAAAAAUGUAGCAGAAGAAUAAAGCAGUAGGAUACUAUUUAUGUAACUUAAACUAUUGUUAUGAUUAAAUGUGUACGUAAAAUGUAAAAAGCACCAAGAAGGAUGUCCAGGAACCUCAGGAUUGUCCUGAGCUCCAGGGGAAAAAACGGAAUGGAAGGUAAGAAAUUUGUCAGAUUUCAUCCUUAAAAAGAGAGAUUCAGGGGAAAUAACUGAAUCUCAUGAAACAAAUGAAAAGAGUUUAUUUUACUGACUCUUUUGUUUCUUUCCCCAAUCAGCUUAGCUUGGAACUGUAGAAUGAUUGUGAUAAAGAUCUCAGCGGCCUCCCAUUCUUCAGGUUCUCCGUCAAGGCACAGGUCUUGGUCGGCACAGGUCUUGGUCGGUGAAUUGCCCAAAGUCAUGAUAAACUCUUGUUUUGUUGUUUUUGCUUUUUAGGGCCACACUCGCAGUGUAUGGAGGCUCCCAGGCUAGGGGCUGAAUGGGAACUACAGCUGUCGGCCUAUGUCACAGCUCACUGCCACGCUGGAUCCUUAAUCCACUGAGCGAGGCCAGGGAUCAAACCCACAUCCUCAUGGUUCCUAGUCGGAUUCAUUUCUGCUGCGCCACGACGAGAACUCCGAAUUCUUGUUUUAAUUUUGAACUAUGGGAACCUCUUAAAGGAGUAAGGGCUAUGCUAAUACAUUCCAGAGCUAUAUCAAGUUCUCUUUUAAUUCUGUCCAUCUGUAAAUUGAAGACUAUUGAGAAAUAG